GUGCUUGCUUCAGCAGCCCAUAUACUAAAAUUGGAACAAUACAGAGAAGCUUAGCAUGGCCCCUGUGCAAGGAUGACACGCAAGUUCGUGAAGUGUUCCAUAUUCUU
rnacentral:snRNA from 1 species